rnacentral:rRNA from 1 species
CGGACGGGUGAGUAACGCGUGAGAAUCUGCCUCCAGGUCGGGGACAACAGCGGGAAACUGCUGCUAAUCCCGGAUAAGCCCUAGGGUAAAAGAUUUAUUGCCUGGAGAGGAGCUCGCGUCCGAUUAGCUAGAUGGUGAGGUAAGAGCUCGCCAUGGCGACGAUCGGUAGCUGUUCUGAGAGGAAGAUCAGCCACACUGGGACUGAGACACGGCCCAGACUCCUACGGGAGGCAGCAGUGGGGAAUUUUCCGCAAUGGGCGAAAGCCUGACGGAGCAAGACCGCGUGCGGGAAGAAGGCCCUUGGGUCGUAAACCGCUUUUCUUAGGGAAGAAGCUCUGACGGUACCUAAGGAAUCAGCCUCGGCUAACUCCGUGCCAGCAGCCGCGGUAAUACGGAGGAGGCAAGCGUUAUCCGGAAUUAUUGGGCGUAAAGCGUCCGCAGGCGGCUUAUCAAGUCUGCUGUCAAAGACUGGGGCUCAACCCUGGGGAGGCAGUGGAAACUGAGAAGCUAGAGUGCAGUAGGGGUAGAGGGAAUUCCCAGUGUAGCGGUGAAAUGCGUAGAGAUUGGGAAGAACACCGGUGGCGAAAGCGCUCUACUGGGCUGUAACUGACGCUGAGGGACGAAAGCUAGGGGAGCGAAAGGGAUUAGAUACCCCUGUAGU